GACGAGGGGUCCUAGCGUUGUUCGGAAUUAUUGGGCGUAAAGCGUAUGUAGGCGGCCAAGAUAGUCAGGUGUGAAAGCCCUGGGCUUAACCUAGGAAGUGCACUUGAUACUACUUGGCUAGAAUAUCGGAGAGGGUAGUGGAAUUCCUGGUGUAGUGGUGAAAUACGUAGAUAUCAGGAGGAACACCGGUGGCGAAGGCGGCUGCCUGGCCGAAUAUUGACGCUGAGAUACGAAAGCGUGGGGAGCAAACAGG
rnacentral:misc_RNA from 1 species